UCGGGAUCGGAGGAAGGAUUAAUAGGAGCAGUCGGGGGCGGUCGUAUUCCAUUGCUAGAGGUGAAAUUCGGUGACCAAUGGAGGACGAACAACAGCGAAAGCAUCCGUCCAGUAUGUUUUCAUUGAUCAGUGGACGAAAGCUAGGGGAGCGAACACGAUUAGGCACCGUGUGUAGUCCUAGCCGUAAACGAUACCGACUAGGGGUUGGUGGACGUUCUUCUCGAUAGCUCCAUCAGCACCUUAUGAGAAA
rnacentral:rRNA from 12 species